AGUGAACGCUGGCGGUAGGCCUAACACAUGCAAGUCGAACGGCAGCACAGUAAGAGCUUGCUCUUACGGGUGGCGAGUGGCGGACGGGUGAGGAAUACAUCGGAAUCUACUUUUUCGUGGGGGUUAACGUAGGGAAACUUACGCUAAUACCGCAUACGACCUACGGGUGAAAGCAGGGGAUCUUCGGCACUUGCGCGAUUGAAUGAGCCGAUGCCGGAUUAGCUAGUUGGCGGGGUAAAGGCCCACCAAGUCGACGAUCCGUAGCUGGUCUGAGUAGAUGAACAGCCACAGUGGAAAUGAGACACGGUCCAGACUCCUACGGGAGGCAGCAGUGGGGAAUAUUGGACAAUGGGCGCAAGCCUGAUCCAGCCAUACCGCGUGGGUGAAGAAGGCCUUCGGGUUGUAAAGCCCUUUUGUUGGGAAAGAAAAGCAGCAGGUUAAUACCCCGCUGUUCUGACGGUACCCAAAGAAUAAGCACCGGCUAACUUCGU
rnacentral:rRNA from 1 species